CCUGGUGGCUCAGACGGUAAAGCGUCUGCCUGCAAUGCGGGAGACCUGGGUUCAAUCCCUGAGUCAGGA
rnacentral:tRNA from 1 species